rnacentral:rRNA from 1 species
UACAGGGGGUGCAAACGUUGCUCGGAAUCAUUGGGCGUAAAGCGCACGUAGGCGGUUCGUUAUGUCGGAUGUGAAAGCCCUUGGCUUAACCGAGGAAGUGCAUCCGAAACUGGCGAGCUAGAGUACGAAAGAGGAUCGCGGAAUUCCCGGUGUAGAGGUGAAAUUCGUAGAUAUCGGGAGGAACACCCGUGGCUAAGGCGGCUCUCUAGUACGGUACUGACGCUGAGACGCGAAAGCGUGGGGAGCGAACAGG